AACACAAAAUUGCCCUUGCCUACCCAUCCAUUCCGCUCACGUUUUUUUUUCAACGGAAUCGAGGCUAUCCACACAUAGGAACUAGUUUCUUUCACUUCAUCCGCUUGUUACAUCUUGAAUACCGCGACUGACUGUCCAC
ensembl:ncRNA H13N06.10 ncRNA